rnacentral:misc_RNA from 1 species
CCCGCAGUGAGUACGUUACUAUAAAGUCAUAUAUACUUGAAUUAUCAGCAAUAAGUGUGCACAUAGAUUUUAACAGGAUAUGCGAUAUAACUUAAUUCAAUGGCUUAUUUGAGCCAACAAUUGAUUUAUAUAAGGACUGUGAAUAUGGCUACACCAGCGCCAACAGACAACCGAGUCUAUCUUUAUCGCUUACUAACGCUUAACAUAGAUUACGGCACUGCAGUCGUUAGGAAUUUAAUUAACGAUAAAUGCUCAAGUGUUGCACUAGCGACCCUUCUAGCCCAAGAGAGAAAAGUUGUAACCAACUUAAGAGCAAACAAAACAAUAACGAAGGUCCAGUUUGAUUUGUUGUAUCCACAAAAUGGCAUUCCUACAACGGCGGACUUCGACCUUACUCUUGCUAUAUGCCUGCUUAGGAGCCUGAAACAUUUUGGUUUGAAUCCUAAGUUUACCUGGAAUGUUACCCCUCAGCCAGGAGAUACGUCACUUGAAGCUGAUUUAUGUCGUUUGCGAAUGUAUCGCAAUGAAUUGGCGCAUAUAUCGUCGACAGCAGGAAUUCAAGAGACAGACUUUAUAGCUAAAUGGGCUAUUAUCGAAGGGGUUCUGCACAGACUUAACGGCUUAGUACAAAAUCCUGUUCAGAAUCUACAACAAAUCAUUAAUGAUUGCAAAACUGGUCCUCUUGAUCCCGAAGCAGAAAAAGAAAUAGAAAAACAAAUAGAGACGAUGCAAAAAAUGGAGGCACAGUUAGAAGUUGAAAGUGCAAAAUAUGAAGAAAAUUGUUGCGGACGUAACGAAAGAUGUCAACAUUGUAUCGAAAGAUGUUCACAAACUAGACGAAGAUGUAAAAUCAACUCACAAAAGGAUGGAUGAGCUGGAAAAACAACAGGAAUCAGAAGGAACGCCAAAAGCAGCAAGAGAUGAGACGCCAAAUUUAUUUCAAAGAAUAUAUAGAUGGUUUACAUACAGGAAUCGAAAGAGAGAGCUGAAACACGAUUUGGCUACCUUCUACACAAAAAGAUACGGUACACUACCACUGUCGCCGCUAUUCGAGGAGAAGGACACUCCCCUUGUAGAUUUUUACAUUUUGCCUGAAAUGAAUUUCAUUGAAAUAAAAAAGACACAUUCAAUUGGGGAAGACGCUAAAAGUCGAGUCAAAUCGUUGUCAGACUUAUUCAAGUCUGAAAGCAGUUGUGAAAUUUAUUUAACCGCUGAUGCUGGACUUGGGAAAACUGCAUUUUCAAAAUAUCUUACUCUCACAUGGUGCCAGGCUCAUCGUCCAGAAAAGAAAUACAAACAGUAUUUCUCAGAUGAUGCGACAAAAACUAUGCGUGAAUUUGAGUUCUUGUUUCUUGUGUUUUUUUGCGCGAUUCUUCUGAUGAUUGCAGCAUUGAUGAUUUGAUAUUAAAUCAAAUUGUGCAAAAUUUGUCUCGCUCUUCCGCUCAAGCAAUAGAUUCUCUACAGCAAAUUCUGCAUCGUGAAAGGUGUUUAGUGAUCUUAGAUGGACUAGAUGAAUGGACCCAUCCCGAGAAGAAAUGUUCAAAAGUGCCAAAAACGAUCCCUCAUCGUAAUGCACGUGAAAAGUGUGUCAUCCUAACCACGACACGACCUUGGAAAUUAGAUGUUUUGAAUCUUAAGACUAGUGAAAUAGAUAAGAAAGUAGAAUUAAUAAAACUAACUUCAGAGUCAGCACAGACGUUAGAGGAAAGGGCAGUUUCAAAACUAAAGAAUCUCGAUGUUCCUGCAGCGAACAACUUGGCCAAAUCAUUGAAAAACAGAAUUAAGGAAAAUAAACUUGAGGAUUUGGAAUCCGUUCCCCUUCUUUUGAUGUAUCUCAUUUCAUUAUGGUGUGACGAUAUUCCACUAGGACAGUCAAAGUGUGGACUAUAUGCAAGCAUUAUUGAACUCCUUCUGUCAAGAACUAUAAGGAAAUAUCCAGAAAUGAAACUAACAUGCGCACCCUCCAAGAGUGAUAUCCCACAAUGCUUCAAUGAACAUGAACAUUGUACUAAAUACUACACAUAUCUGACAGCUUUAGGACAAUUAGCGUUUGAAACAUUAUUCAGUGAAACAAAAGAACGCACACUUGUUUUUGAUACCUCAGUGGCAGAUAAGGUUUUAACCCCAGAUUAUUUGAUACUUAGCCUUCACUCGGGAGUAUUAACAAAGAGUACAGAAAAGAAAUUAACCAAACAAAGUUCUAAAGUUUCUUUUUCACACAAAACAGUGCAGGAAUUUUUUUGUGCACUAUACUUCUGCUGUCACAAUGAAAGUGAUAUCAAAAAAAAUCUUUCUGAAGAAAUGCAAAAGUUUACAAAAUAUUCUUGACAUGUCGACAGUGUUUGUUUUCAUCAGCGGAAUGGGGAAUGCAGCAUUCGUUUCCUCAGUAUCUCGCGAAUUUAUGUCUGUAAUCAGCGAAGAUAAUAUAACUAGCGAAUACAGGUCUACAACUGGUAGAAACUGUGAACCUCUGAAAGACAUACAAGACAUGUGCAUUUCUUGUAUUAAAGAAAACCCUGACAAGGAACUCAAAAUGUGCUGCCAAGAUUUUUUCUUCGGCGAAGAUUGUAAAGACAAAAAAUACUUAACACAUUUAAAACAGCUCACAAUACACAAUAAAACAAACAUGGGGUCAAUAAAUAUUGACCCAGAAGGUGCUCCUAGUUUACGUGAAAUUAUUGAUUGCUGCGGCCUAAACGACAAUUUCAAAAUCAAUAAAAUUUACUACCACGGUCAAGGUGAAGAAGCGCAACUUCCUGUACUGUUGAACAGGUCAACGAAAUGUGUCGCUGUUAUAUCGUCUGGUGGUUUUUGGACCACUGAAAUGUCUGAAACAUUACUGAAUAAUUCACUGUCAAAAGCAAUUUAUAUCAGAGAUUUCAGCAUGAGUCACGAUCUACUAAAUGACUUUCUAAAUUAUAUAACAAACAGCAAAAAAAUGACGGAGAUUAGAUUGUUGAACUUAUCGUGUACCGAGCACUGUCGUUCCUGUACUUACAGUUUGGAUUUUGGCCAGCAUUCAGAACUAAAGACGUUAGUAUUGGACUAUAUACCUCGAGUGUCACAAUUGAAAGUAAGUAAUCAAGUGAAACACAUGGAGUUGUCGUUUAUCAAUCUAGGCAAAAUGUUGCUGUCUCCUGAAAUGGUAAAUAUUGAGCAUGUUAUGUUGUUUAAUGUAAACAUGUUUGCUUCUACAUUCCGUGAUCUCGUUGAGGUAGUUGAAAAACUGUCACACAAAGUCACAGUGAAAAUAUACAAGUGUAAUAUAAGAUAUCGAAGAACAUUUAAAGACGUUAAACAAUAUAUACACUCAUCUCGGAAUUUCCGAGUCAACACGGAUGAUGCUUGGCGAUUUGUGUUUGAAACAAAAGUUGAAAGUUAAGUUACUCAAUAAACUUGGCUUUGUAGUCAUACCGUUUGUUUGGUGGGGCCUCCGUGGCCGAGUGGUUAAGGUCGCUGAUUUCAAAUCACUUGCCCCUCAUCGAUGUGGGUUCGAGCCUCACUCUGGGCGUUGUAUUCUUCAAGUGAAGAAGCCAUUCAGCUGGCUUACAGAAGUUCGGUGGUUCUACCCAGGUGUCUGCUCGUGAUGAAAUAAUGCACAGAGAGGCACAUGGGGUCUUCAUACACCCUCAAAGCUAGAAAAUUACCAUAUGACCUGUAAUUGAGACAGUGCGACGUUAACACCCCAUCCCCUCCCCCCGCAAAAGAUCCCCCAAACAGUAGUUUGUUAUUUCUCUUUAUAAGUCAUUUAGCACAUUUAUAAAUAUUUGAAUUUCCAAUAUUUUGUAACAACAGUAGUGAACUUUCCUAAUGUUAUGCUAGUUAGCCGUUUUUCAAUUUCAUUGUAUAAUACAUAAUCUCUUUGGUUUGUAUCUAUAAAAUACUAAAGAAAUACACACAAUUUUGUACCAUAACUUCCUUUCAAAUGAUCAAAAUUGAGCAGUUCCUAUUAACAAUGAUAUGUUAAGAUCAGAUAAGAUAAAAUUCAUUUAUAGUAGGCAAAGAAGCAAACAAGUACAAAUAUAAGCCCAUUUGAGCUUUUGAACCGACUAAUGUUAAAGUAUGUGUCAGACAUCUAAUAAAUGAUCAAACUUUUAAGCUGAUGGAAUAUAGUUAACAAAUACAGAAUGUAUAACGUUACUUUGCAGUAAUGAUAUUUUUAAAGUGCCACAGUGUAAUAAUAUGUUAUAUGUUAUCAAAUGCUGGAAUCAUUGUAUUUAUGCAGAUAUUACUAAGGUAUUAGAGCCUGAAUACAAUCAUAAACUUUGUCUGACAAAUAUUGGAUAUGGCUUUUGAUAACUUUUAACCCUAAAGUGUUGACAGAUAUCAUAUACAUGUACUUUUUGUUAGUUAUCUGUUUGUUUUGUUGUCAUAGACAUAUACCAUUACAUGUAUUGGAACAUUUACCUAAGCCUUGAUAUGUAUACUAAGUACUUUAUGAACCCACAUUCUUUCUUAGAUAAUAUUUUACUUAUAUAAACCUGUGUUUUAAAUAUAUUAAUUUACUCAUACAAUAGUCUGCAUAAAACUGUGCUGAUAAUGCAGAAAAUUGAGUAUUUAUGUUUUAUUUGAAAAUUUUUCAAUCUGCUUUUUAUAGGAAUUGCUUUGCUAUGUUAUUAUAUAUGCACUAAUUGUCUGAAUGUAUUUUUUAUUCUUAAGUCAUUACAGAAUUGUAACAAUGUUCUACUGGAUGAAAUAUGGAUAACUUAAAGAUUUUCUCUUAUAAUUGUCGUGGUUUGAAUAACAGUAGGAAAUGUUAUAAUGUUUUUCUCUGUUCAAGGAUUAAAGCUGACAUAUAAUGUUUACAGGAAACACAUUUUGUUCUAGAGCAUGAAAAGAGUACUCAGAUACUUUAUGAACCCAAAUUCACUCAGAGUGUGAGGAAGAAUGAACGUUGCUCUCGUCAUGAUAAAUAUAAUUCAAAGGGUGUAGCCAUAUUGUUUAGAGAAACUCUAUAUAUUAAAAUUUUGAAUGUAAAAUUAGACAGUAAUGGGAGCCAUUUGUGUAUCGAGUUAUUAUACAAUGAUAUUAGAUUUGUUCUGACUAAAAUUUAUGCUCCUGAUACGGAUGACCCUAAGUUUUUUUUUUUCAAACUGUUGUAAAACUAUUGAUAUUUUUGACAUAAAGAAGACUUAUUUUCUGUGUGGUGAUUGGAAUUUAGUUUUAAACCCUAACUUAGACUACAAAAACUGUACAUCUAUAAACCAUAAUAGAAAAGCAAGAAAUGUAUUGGUAUCGAAUAUUUCUGAUUGGAAUAUGAUAGAUGCAUUUAGAGAACUAUAUGGUGAUGUGAAAGAGUAUACUGGGAGAAGAUUUAUCCCAUUACAUCGAGCCAUGCUUGACUUUUUUUCUAAUAACAAAUAAUUUGCAUAGGUGUGUAAGAAAUUGUGAUACUGAUAUCAGUUAUAAAUCAGACUAUGCCCUUGCUAUAAACUCCUUUUCUAGAAAUAUGACAUAACAUUGUUAAAUGUGUUAUACAAAUUAGCUUCAGGUAGCAUAGCAAAUAGGAAUAAUAUAAGUGUUCUAGUGUCUAAUGAUCAAACUGGAUUUGUUAAGGACAGGUGAUCAGAUGAAAACACUCGCUUAGUUUAUGAUAUUUUAUGAAGUACUAUAAAGACAAUAAUAUUUCUUGAUUACUGAUGUUUAUUGAUUUUCGACAGGGAUAACAAGUAUCGCCGUAUGUUUUUAUACUUUGUGCUGCAAUCUUAAAUAUAAGAAUAAAACAAUGUAAAGAUAUUUAAGGUAUUAAAAUAUUAAACGGACAGGAAUACGACAUUUCACAAUUUACUGACAACACUUACUACUGUUAGAUGGCUCAAAAGGUCCUUAUAUACUGUUUUGGAUCUGCUUAAUCAAUUAGCUUUAAUAUCCGGUCCUAAAGUUAAUUUUCACAAAACAAAAGUUAUUUGGAUUAGUUCACUAAAGUAUAGCACACGGUCGAUAAAAAUGAAAAGGAAACAUUCCUGGGGAGAUACCCAGUUUGAACAUUUGGGUAUCGAAUUCGAAUUUGAUGUUUGUUUAAAUAAAAUGGUUGAACUGAAUUUUCAGGUAAAGAUAGUAGGUAUAGAGAACAGCAUUUCUUUUUGGAAGAGAAGAAAACUAUCACCUUUAGGAAGAAUAAUACUUAUUAAGGUUUUACUAUUGCCUAUAUUUAAUCAUUUAUUCGGAAGUCUAUCCUCACCUUCAAAACAGUUUGUAAAAUAAAAUUUAAUGAUACUUUCUAUAACUUUGUAUGGGAUGGUAAAGAAAAAUUAAGAAGCAGUGUAUUUCUUAAAGAUUACACAAUGGAGGCUUAAAAUGGUAGGUGUAGACAGUAAUUAAUAUUAACUCUUUGAAAAUUAAAUAAUUAGGAAAUGUCCAUGUUCACAGUGAAAGUACAUAUAAAUGUAAUAAACUGGUUAACAGUUCGUUAGAUAUGAACAAAGUUAUGAAUUGUGGAAAAAAUAUUUUUUGAAAAAAAUCAUGAAGAAAAUGAAAAAUAUUUUUAGAAACAUGUUUUAAAGCAAUCUUUAAGUGCCGUGUUGGCGGCUGUAAAAAGUCUCCGCAUAC